rnacentral:rRNA from 1 species
GUCAAAUAAAGGAAGGCGGACGGCGGAAACCUAGGCACUCAGAGACGAUGAAGGGCGCAUUAACCGGCGAUACGCUUCGGGGAAUUGGAACUAAAUUUUGAUCCGAAGAUUCCCGAAUGGGGCAACCCCUAUGAACUCCUUUAUGAAUUCAUAAAAAGGAAGAGGCAACCCGGUGAAUUGAAACAUCUUAGUAACCGGAGGAAAAGAAAGCAAACGCGAUUUCCUGAGUAGCGGCGAGCGAAACGGAAUCAGCCUAAACUGAUUUUCAAUUUUUGGGAAUCAGGGUCGUGGGAAGACAAAUAGUUUAACUUUUAAACUAAACUAAAGACUAAUAAAACUAGUUUUUUAACGAAGCAGCUGAAUCCUGCACCAUAGAUGGUGAAAGUCCAGUAGUUAAAAUCUAAAAAUACUUGUCUUAUCCCGAGUAGCAUGGGGCACGUGAAAUCCCGUGUGAAUCAGCGAGGACCACCUCGUAAGGCUAAAUACUCCUGAGUGACCGAUAGCGAAAUAGUACCGCGAGGGAAAGGAGAAAAGAACCCCCGGAGGGGAGUGAAAUAGAACAUGAAACCGUCCGCUGACAAGCAGUGGGAGGACAAAGACUCUGACCGCGUGCCUGUUGAAGAAUGAGCCAGCGACUUAUAGGAAGUGGCUUGGUUAAGGAAAUUCAUCCGGAGCCAGAGCGAAAGCGAGUCUGAAUAGGGCGCCACUCCAAAAUACUUUAGUAUUUUGGAGCCGGUCACUUCUUAUGGACCCGAACCGGGAUGAUCUACGCCUGGCCAGAUUGAAGCGUGGGUAAAACUUCGUGGAGGAUCGAACGGACCGAUGUUGAAAAAUCGGCCGAUGAGCUUGGGGUAGCGGAGAAAUUCCAAUCGAAUUCCGAGCUAGCUGGAUCUCUCCGAAAUUUGUUGAGGCGAAGCGGUGACGACGGGCUGCCUUGGGGUAAAGCUACCGUUUCGGUGCGGGCUGCGAGAGCGGUACCAAGUCGUGACGAACUCAGAAUACAAGGUAUAGCUUUCCGUCAACCAGUGAGACUACGACGGAUAAGCGCCGUAGUCAAGAGGGAAACAGCCCAGAUCACCAGCUAAGGCCCCUAAAUGGACGCUAAGUGGUAAAGGAUGUGGGAAUGCGAAAACAACCAGGAAGUUCGCUUAGAAGCAGCUAACUUUAAAAGAGUGCGUAACAGCUCACUGGUAACAGCGUUCUUGCGCCGAGAAUGGCCGGGACUAAGCGUCCUGCCGAAGCUGUGGGAUCGAGAAAACUCGUAUCGGUAGGAGAGCGUUGUGCUUUCGGGUGAAGCUUUCACGUAAGUGGGGGUGGACGAAGCACAAGUGAGAAUGUUGGCUUGAGUAACGAAAACAUUGGUGAGAAUCCAAUGCCCCGAAAACCUAAGGAUUCCUUCACUAGGCUCGUCCAUGAAGGGUUAGUCAAGUCCUAAGGCAAGGCCGAACGGCGUAGUCGAUGGAAAUCAGGUUAAUAUUCCUGAACUUAUUUAAACAACAUAGAUCCCGAGGGACGGAGGAGGCUAAGCUAGGUUUGUCUAUGGAUUGCAAUGGAAGCGAUUAAGGCGUUGAGAGAUUGAAUAAAAACAAUUCUUGAGCUGAAACGUGAUCCCGUUUGAUUAAACUCUCGGGUUUGAUUGGACGCUAGUGAUGUCAUACUUCCAAGAAAAGCUCGUUCGAUUUUAGUUUAAAUAACUUGUACCUUAAACCGACACAGGUAGGUGGGUAGAGAAUACCAAGGGGCGCGAGAGAACUCUCUUUAAGGAACUCGGCAAACUGGCCCCGUAACUUCGGAAGAAGGGGUGCCCUCUUUGUUUUUUUGAAGCAAAGAGGGUCGCAGUGCCAAGACCCAAGCGACUGUUUACCAAAAACACAGGUCUCUGCAAAGUCGUAAGACGAUAUAUAGGGGCUGACGCUUGCCCAGUGCCGGAAGGUUAAAGAAGUUGGUUAUUCCUUAAGUGGAAGAAGCUGGCGACUGAAGCCCCGGUGAACGGCGGCCGUAACUAUGACGGUCCUAAGGUAGCGAAAUUCUUUGUCGAGUAAGUUUCGACCUGCACGAAAAGCGUAACGAUUUGGGUGCUGUCUCAAAGAGAGGCUCGGUGAAAUAGACUUGUCCGUGAAGAUGCGGACUACUUAUAUCAGGACAGAAAGACCCUAUGAAGCUUGACUGUAGUUUGGAAUAGGGUUCGGGCUUUUCUUGCGCAGUCUAGGUGGGAGGCAUUGAAGAUUUCUUUUCGGGGAAAUCAGAGCCAUCAGUGAGAGACCACUCUGGAAGAGCUAGAAUCCUAAUGGCGUUCCUUGAAUCAGGACGCUUGACAGUUUCAGAUGGGCAGUUUAUUUGGGGCGAAUUUCUCCUAAAAGGUAACGGAGAAGCGCAAUGGUCCCCUCAACCUGGACGGAAAUCAGGCAUUGAGUGCAAAGGCAUAAGGGGGCUUAACUGAAAGACUUACAAGUCAAACAGAGGCGAAAGCCGGCCUUAGUGAUCCGACGGUUCCGUGUGGAAGGGCCGUCGCUCAACGGAUAAAAGUUACUCUAGGGAUAACAGGCUGAUCUUCCCCAAGAGUUCACAUCGACGGGAAGGUUUGGCACCUCGAUGUCGGCUUUUCUUAUCCUGGGGCGGUAGUACGUCCCAAGGGUUGGGCUGUUCGCCCAUUAAAAAGGAACAUGAGCUGGGUUCAGAACGUCGUGAGACAGUUCGGUCCAUAUCCGAUAUGAGCGUUGGAGUAUUGAGAGGAGCUCCAUAUAGUACGAGAGGAUCUAUAGGGGACGCACCAAUGGUAUACCAGUUCUUGUUCCAACAGGAAACGCUGGGUAGCUACGUGCGGAGCGGAUAACUGCUGACAGCAUCUAAGUAGGAAGCCCACCUCAAGAUUAUUACUCCCUUUGAGGUCACGAAUAGAUAAUUCGUUAUAUAGGCGUCAGGUGUAAGGCCCGUGAAGGUUUUAGCUAAGACGUACUAACGACCGAUAGAUUUUGACUC